CAAGUUAUAAAUUCACCACAGCCAGAACCGUCUCCGGUUAAGAGACUCUCACCUCAAUUUAAUUCACCACAGGUUCAACCAUCUCCGGUUAACAUACUUCAACCUCAAGUUAAUUCACCACAGGUUCAACCAUCUCCGGUGAAAACACUACGACCACAAGUUAUAAAUUCACCACAGCCAGAACCGUCUCUGGUUAAGAGACUCUCACCUCAAGUUAAUUCACCACAAGUUCAACCAUCUCCGGCUAAAACACUACAACGACAAGUUAUAAAUUCACCACAACCAGAACCAUCUCUAGUUAACGCACUACCACCUCAGAUUAAUUUACCACAAGUUCAACCAUCUCCGGCUAACGCACUGCCACCUCAAGUUAAUUCACCGCAACCAAAACCGUCUCCGGUUAACUCACCCUCACCUCCAGUUAAUUCACCACAACCAGAACUGUUUCCGGUUAACGUACUACCACCUCAAGUUAUAAAUUCACCACAACUUCAACCAUCUCUGGUUAACGCACGACCGGUUAAUUCAGGUCAACCAUCUCCGGUUAACGCACUACCACCUCAGGUUAAUAUUUCACCUCAACCAAAACCGUUUCCGGUUAACUCACUCUCACCUCCGGUUAAUUCACCACAACCAGAACCGUCUUUGGUUAACGCACUACCACCUCAAGUUAAUUCACCACAAGUUCAACCAUCUUUGGUUAACUCACAAUCCCCUCCAUUUAAUUCUCCGCAAUUAGAACCACCUUCAGUUAAGAUACUGUC
rnacentral:lncRNA from 1 species